AGCGAACGCUGGCGGCAGGCCUAACACAUGCAAGUCGAACGGAUCCUUCGGGAUUAGUGGCGGACGGGUGAGUAACACGUGGGAACGUGCCCAUUGGUUCGGAACAACUCAGGGAAACUUGAGCUAAUACCGGAUGAGCCCUUAGGGGGAAAGAUUUAUCGCCGAAAGAGCGGCCCGCGUUAGAUUAGCUAGUUGGUGAGGUAAAGGCUCACCAAGGCUACGAUCUAUAGCUGGUCUGAGAGGAUGAUCAGCCACACUGGGACUGAGACACGGCCCAGACUCCUACGGGAGGCAGCAGUGGGGAAUCUUGCGCAAUGGGCGAAAGCCUGACGCAGCCAUGCCGCGUGAAUGAUGAAGGUCUUAGGAUUGUAAAAUUCUUUUACCAGGGACGAUAAUGACGGUACCUGGAGAAAAAGCCCCGGCUAACUUCGUGCCAGCCGCCGCGGUAAUAC
rnacentral:rRNA from 1 species